rnacentral:rRNA from 1 species
UUCCGGUUGAUCCCGCCGGAGGCGACCGCUUUGGGAGUUCGAUUAAGCCAUGCGAGUCGUGAGUCUUAGGGACUCGGCAUACUGCUCAGUAACACGUGGAUAACCUGCCCUAUCGUCUGGAAUAACCUCGGGAAACUGAGAAUAAGGCCGGAUAGUUCACAAUGCCUGGAACGGUUUGUGAAUCAAGGUAGGAUGGGUCUGCGGCGUAUCAGGUUGUAGGGGGUGUAAAGGACCCCCUAGCCUUCGACGCGUACGGGUGUUGGGAGACAUAGCCCGGAGAUGGAUUCUGAGACACGAAUCCAGACCCUACGGGGUGCAGCAGGCGCGAAAACUUCACACUGCAGGAAACUGUGAUGAGGGAACUCCUAGUGCAUGCACUAUGUGUAUGUAGAUCCUACUCUUAACAAGUAGAGGGAAAGGGCUGGGAAAGACCGGUGCCAGCCGCCGCGGUAAUACCGGCAGCUCAAGUGGUCGUCGCUUUUAUUGGGCCUAAAACGUCCGUAGCCUGUCUGGUAAAUCUGUGGGUAAAUCAAUCCGCUCAACGGAUUGAAUUCUGCAGAGACUGCCAGACUAGGGACCGGGAGAGGUGUGGGGUACUCGAGGGGUAGGGGUAAAAUCCUGUCAUCCUUCGAGGACCACCAGUUGCGAAGGCGCCACACUGGAACGGAUCCGACGGUCAGGGACGAAGCCUAGGGGCACGAACCGGAUUAGAUACCCGGGUAGUCCUAGGUGUAAACGCUGUGAACUUGGUGUCGGGGGUCCGCAAGGGGUCCCCGGUGCCGGAGUGAAGAUGUUAAGUUCACUGCCUGGGGAGUACGGUCGCAAGGCUGAAACUUAAAGGAAUUGGCGGGGCAGCAC